AAAUCUCUGUUGGCUGCGGUGUGGUGUGUCUCCGUUUAGAUGCAGUUUUGGUUCCGGUGUGUCAUGAUGUAGUGCUAACCUUUAACCUUCUUUAUAAUCAGGAUAUGUAGCAAUGCUCCUCCAUUAGCUCUAACUCACCAAAGACAAACUUUGUGCAGCCAGUUCCACGUAAAAAGUGGGGUUUGUUUGUAUUAUUACCUGAUGAUAUAUAAUCGGUUGCUGCUUAUUUAACAGAGGAUGCAUGGGCCUCCUAGUUUCCGAACCUGAUGAUGUUCGGUUUCAAGAGCUGAAAUUGAAUUGUAACAGAAUGAUCAAUAUAGUUAGACCAGUUGUCACUAUUGUUCUGUAGACUCACUAUCGGCCACAUAUAUACAAAGGACUAGAUUCUAAGCAUCACUAUAAAAAAACCAAUAAACUUUCAGAGGGUUUCUAAUAAACUAAAAGAUUUCACCAUAACAGUGGCGGCUGGUGCCACAGCUCACACGCCUGUCUUCAUCAACUCAGGUUCCAGUUUCAUUCUCACACGGCAUUUCAAUCUCUAGAACGAGGGAACACAUGCAACAAAAGCCUCAAAGAUUAACCUCCACCACACGGCAAGAG